rnacentral:rRNA from 1 species
CUUUUUUGUCAGGGAAGAAACGGUGGGGGCUAAUAUCCAUGGCUAAUGACGGUACCUGAAGAAUAAGCCCCGGCUAACUACGUGCCAGCAGCCGCGGUAAUACGUAGGGUGCAAGCGUUAAUCGGAAUUACUGGGCGUAAAGCGUGCGCAGGCGGUUUUGUAAGUCUGUCGUGAAAUCCCCGGGCUCAACCUGGGAAUUGCGAUGGAGACUGCAAGGCUAGAAUCUGGCAGAGGGGGGUAGAAUUCCACGUGUAGCAGUGAAAUGCGUAGAGAUGUGGAGGAACACCGAUGGCGAAGGCAGCCCCCUGGGUCAAGAUUGACGCUCAUGCACGAAAGCGUGGGGAGCAAACAGGAUUAGAUACCCUGGUAGUCCACGCCCUAAACGAUGUCUACUAGUUGUCGGGUUUUAAUUAACUUGGUAACGCAGCUAACGCGUGAAGUAGACCGCCUGGGGAGUACGGUCGCAAGAUUAAAACUCAAAGGAAUUGACGGGGACCCGCACAAGCGGUGGAUGAUGUGGAUUAAUUCGAUGCAACGCGAAAAACCUUACCUACCCUUGACAUGUACGGAAGCCUCGAGAGAUCGAGGUGUGCUCGAAAGAGAGCCGUAACACAGGUGCUGCAUGGCUGUCGUCAGCUCGUGUCGUGAGAUGUUGGGUUAAGUCCCGCAACGAGCGCAACCCUUGUCAUUAGUUGCUACAUUUAGUUGAGCACUCUAAUGAGACUGCCGGUGACAAACCGGAGGAAGGUGGGGAUGACGUCAAGUCCUCAUGGCCCUUAUGGGUAGGGCUUCACACGUCAUACAAUGGUACAUACAGAGGGCCGCCAACCCGCGAGGGGGAGCUAAUCCCAGAAAGUGUAUCGUAGUCCGGAUCGCAGUCUGCAACUCGACUGCGUGAAGUUGGAAUCGCUAGUAAUCGCGGAUCAGCAUGUCGCGGUGAAUACGUUCCCGGGUCUUGUACACACCGCCCGUCACACCAUGGGAGCGGGUUUUACCAGAAGUAGGUAGCUUAACCGCAAGGAGGGCGCUUACCACGGUAGGAUCGU